AGAGUUUGAUCCUGGCUCAGGACUAACGCUGGCGGCGUGCCUAAUACAUGCAAGUCGAACGGGAGUAUUAGUUAGCUUGCUAACAAAGUACUCUAGUGGCGGACGGGUGAGUAACACGUGGGAAUCUGCCUUUUACUGGGGGAUAACAGUGGGAAACCACUGCUAAUACCGCAUAAGAUCUUCGGAUGAAAGGUGCAACUGCAUCGGUAAAGGAUGAGCCCGCGCCCCAUUAGCUAGUUGGUGAGGUAAUAGCUCACCAAGGCGACGAUGGGUAACCGGCCUGAGAGGGUGACCGGUCACACUGGGACUGAGAUACGGCCCAGACUCCUACGGGAGGCAGCAGUAGGGAAUCUUCCGCAAUAGGCGCAAGCCUGACGGAGCGACGCCGCGUGAGUGAAGACGGCCUUCGGGUUGUAAAGCUCUGUUCUUGAGGAAGAAUAAGCUAGAGAGUGGAAAGCUCUAGUGAUGACAGUACUCAAGGAGAAAGCCCCGGCUAACUACGUGCCAGCAGCCGCGGUAAUACGUAGGGGGCAAGCGUUGUCCGGAAUUAUUGGGUGUAAAGGGCGCGUAGGCGGUUUCUUAAGUCAGGUGUGAAAGACUGGGGCUCAACUCCGGUUGUGCACUUGAAACUGGGAGACUUGAGUGUGAGAGAGGAAAGUGGAAUUCCCCGGUGUAGCGGUGAAAUGCGUAGAUAUCGGGAGGAACACCAGUGGCGAAGGCGACUUUCUGGCUCACAACUGACGCUCAGGCGCGAAAGCUGGGGGAGCGAACAGGAUUAGAUACCCUGGUAGUCCACGCCGUAAACGAUAAUUACUGGGUGUAGGGGGUAUCGACUCCCUCUGUGCCGAAGCUAACGCGAUAAGUAAUCCACCUGGGGAGUACGGCCGCAAGGCUAAAACUCAAAGGAAUAGACGGGGGCCCGCACAAGCAGUGGAGUAUGUGGUUUAAUUCGAGGCAACGCGAAGAACCUUACCAGGGUUUGACAUCCCGCGCUCGGGGUAGAGAUACCUUUUUCCCUUCGGGGACGCGGAGACAGGUGGUGCAUGGUUGUCGUCAGCUCGUGUCGUGAGAUGUUGGGUUAAGUCCCGCAACGAGCGCAACUCUUAUCGCUAUUUGCCAUCAUUAAGUUGGGGACUAUAGCGAGACUGCCAGCGACAAACUGGAGGAAGGUGGGAAGGACGUCAAAUCAUCAUGCCCCCUAUGGUCUGGGCUACAAACGUGAUACAAUGGUUGGUACAAAGGGAGGCAAAGUCGUGAGACCAAGCGAACCCCAUAAAACCAAUCUCAGUUCGGAUUGAAGUCUGCAACUCGACUUCAUGAAGUCGGAAUCGCUAGUAAUCGUAGAUCAGAACGCUACGGUGAA
rnacentral:rRNA from 1 species